rnacentral:rRNA from 1 species
GAUGAACGCUGGCGGCGUGCCUAAUACAUGCAAGUCGAGCGAACAGACGAGGAGCUUGCUCCUCUGACGUUAGCGGCGGACGGGUGAGUAACACGUGGAUAACCCACCUAUAAGACUGGGAUAACUUCGGGAAACUGGAGCUAAUACCGGAUAAUAUAUUGAACCGCAUGGUUCAAUAGUGAAAGACGGUUUUGUUGUCACUUAUAGAUGGAUCCGCGCGGUAUUAGCUUGUUGGUAAGGUAACGGCUUACCACGGCAACAAUGCGUAGCCGACCUGAGAGGUGGAUCGGCCACACUGGAACUGGGACACGGUCCAGACUCCUACGGGAGGAGGCGGUAGGGAAUCUUCCGCAAGGGGCGAAGGCCUAACGGAGCAACGCCGCGUGGUUAAUGAGGGUUUUCGGAUCUUAAGACUCUGUUAUAGGGGAAGAACAAAUGUGUAAGUAACUGUGCACGUCUUGACGGUACCUAAUCAGAAAGCCACGGCUAACUACGUG